GCCAUUGCACGAGCAGCCGCGCUCUCCAUUCAUUUGCAGACAGUUCUGCUCUUCUUCCUCUCCCCCUCCCCCGUGCUGGAUCCCAGCAGGGGGGCAGUUCCGCCGGGGGCAGCGAGGGUGUCCGCCCCCUGCCUGGCAGGCGGCAGGGAGCCUUGUGCAUCGCUCCAGCGAGCAUCGCCGGCUCCUCCACCAAGUGCACCACCGCCGCAGGAAAGCCAGCCAAUCACAGCCACUUUUUUAAAUAAAGCCUCUUACGACAUUAUUCGUUCUCCUCUCUAGUUUGCCUUUUUUUUUUCAAUCGGACCCCUUGGGGGAGGCGCUCCCUCCCCACCCCCCAGCCUCUGGCCCAGCGGGGAGCGUCCCCGGGAGCCGGCGCGGAGAUUACGCACGCCCCGCAGAACCGGUUCCCUGGAGAAGGGAGGAGGAGGACUCCAGGGCACUUUGGAACUGAACCAGUUUCCCAAGACACUAUUAAAAGUACGGUGAUGCAGGAGGAGCUACCUACUGGAUGAUAUGUGAAACAAGCUGCUUGAGGGCCUUAUCUGGGACUAAAACUGCAAUGUCCUGCUGUAUUCCUCACAUUAUUCUGAGAAAACAGAACCAACAAAUACAACUACACAUUGGCUGAAAUAAGUUCUUGGCAUGUUUUAUUUCUAUUGCAAAUUCUUUGUACAGGAUCUGCAAAUUGUAAGCUUAACAACAGAAGUCUUGCAGUGGCUUUCAGAUGGUAUCUACAUUUUAAGAGGGGUGAGUGCACCACCUAGAGGAGAUAAUGAUACUUUUUUGCUGACUAUUACAAAACUUUCCAUUUGGUGCUGUAGGUUAAGUGAAAGUUAACACAUGGCACAACGGACCAUUGAGAAGCUGUUGAUUUACUUUGUGCCUGCUGACCUUUCUGGUGAAUACAAAAUAUGUAAGAAUCCUUUCCAGGGCACACAAAACUUUGAAUAAUUUUGAAGACUGGUGAUUACAGCAAAAAAGAAUCCUGACCUUCAGUCUGUUCACCAGCUGUGGGACCUUGGAAGACUUGGUAAAACUGUCAAUGCUGAGAGGCUGAGUUCACGAAGGUUUUUACAAUGCUUUGAUAUCCUUGGAAAGGGGCUCUGAGUGCAAAGUGUUUUUUGUUUUAUUAUUCAUCUGAUAACAUAGAUAGCUUCUCUGUUUGCAUACAGCAUAGUUCCUUCUCUGUGCUAAUGGUUCUGACAUUUAAGAGGAUUGUCUAGUUUAUGUUGCUUGAAAAGUAAGAUCAUGUUUGCAAACAUGGAUUUCCUCCUUCCCUUUAACUAUUACUGCCUAGGGUUUUAUUUUAUUUUUUUACAAUUACUCUUUCAAUUUUUGUAUGAGAUAAGCACUGUGACAGGGCUUGCUGACACCCAAAUGUAGACCUAUUUAUAGCAGGUCCACAAGAUCACACAUUCAAGAUGAAACUGGGGCCACCAUGUUCUUCCAGGACUUGUCAUGAUGAAUGAGGCAACACAGAACAGAGAGCAAAGGGUAAAGGAUUUUUUUUAAUGAUAAAGCUGGUUUCUUUGAAUGACGUUUCUCCUUGGAUCUAUCAUAAGAGAAGUUCUCUGUGCUACCAUUACAGAGGUCCUUGAAUACAUGAUGAAGCACCUGUGAGAAUGGACAUGCAGGCAGAACUACUGUCACAAUAGAUCCAUAAAACACAUCUUUCUGAAACUGUAAAUAGCGGGUGGGAAGAAUUAUGUUCUCAUGCAGUCGUGGGGUUGUGGAAUUAAAGCACUUUCAGGUAGCUUUGAGCGAUGCUGCUCAGCCAACUGUUCCCUCUCUCUCUUUUGUUUGGUAAGACUUUGUAAUAAAUUCUUGACUUAAACAAU